UACGUAGGGUGCAAGCGUUGUCCGGAAUUAUUGGGCGUAAAGAGCUCGUAGGCGGCUUGUCACGUCGGCUGUGAAAACCCGGGGCUCAACCCCGGGCCUGCAGUCGAUACGGGCAGGCUGGAGUUCGGUAGGGGAGACUGGAAUUCCUGGUGUAGCGGUGAAAUGCGCAGAUAUCAGGAGGAACACCGGUGGCGAAGGCGGGUCUCUGGGCCGAUACUGACGCUGAGGAGCGAAAGCGUGGGGAGCGAACAGG
rnacentral:rRNA from 1 species